AAAAUAAUUCACAAGUCUUUAUAUGUGUGUAUUGGGCGUUGUCAAUUCUUACACGAAUCGGAACCAAAUUAAUGUUUUUAUACUUCCCUACUUUACCCAGUUAUACAAUGGGUCAUUUAUCGUAUUGAAUCGUAUUUGGUUUUUUUUUUAAUUUACACAUAUCGUAAAUCGAAAUGGUUUUUUUUCAAAAUAAAAUGAAAAAAAAAAUCUAAAUGGCUCACACACUCACACGCAGAAUGGAUGACCAUUUGUCAGUGGUCCACUUAUAUAAAAGAAUUGUUGAUGUGAUUCUAUCAUCAUAAUCAUAAUCAUCAUCGUAUAUAUAUAUCGACACUCAAUUUAUUUAUGGCCAUUUGUUGAAGAAAUUAUUAUUAUCAUUAUAUUGAUCAAUGUUUAUAAAAUUGGAACAAUAAAUGACUACAAGUUUAUUCUUUAAAAAA